rnacentral:rRNA from 1 species
AGCAGCCGCGGUAAUUCCAGCUCCAAUAGCGUAUAUUAAAGUUGUUGCAGUUAAAAAGCUCGUAGUUGAAUUUUGGGUCUGGCCGGGCGGUCCGCCCUCUGGGUGAGCACUGUUCCGACGCCGGGCCUAUCCUUCUGGUGAGUCGGCAUGUCCCUUAUUGGGUGUGCCGGGGAACCAGGACCAUUACCUUGAAAAAAUUAGAGUGUUUAAAGCAGGCGUAUGCUCGGAUACAUUAGCAUGGAAUAAUGAAAUAGGACGCGUGGUGCUAUUUUGUUGGUUUCUAGAACCGCCGUAAUGAUUAAUAGGGAUAGUUGGGGGCAUUAGUAUUCAAUUGUCAGAGGUGAAAUUCUUGGAUUUAUUGAAGACUAACUUCUGCGAAAGCAUUUGCCAAGGAUGUUUUCAUUAAUCAAGAACGAAAGUUAGGGGAUCGAAGACGAUCAGAUACCGUCG